CCUACACUAGUGGCAUCCUGUCUUAUCAUCAUAAUACAUAUCUUUCCAGAAGAGAGUAGCGCUAUUGCAUCUUCCUUGUCAUAUUUAUCUUUAUUAUUUUUUCUCGUUUUUUGUUCUGGUAAGUCAUUUAUCGUUGCCGAUCUCUCCAUGGUACUGCAGAUGCAAGCUCUAAGCCGGCCGGUGCUGAUAUAACCAAAUUGUGAACGGCGGACUGCGGCCCCAGCAGAUCUGACACGCUGAACACUGGAGCUGGAGCUGCCCUUAUCUAGUCGUAGAUAUUAAGGAAACAUCCAAUCUUAUAUACAGCGACUCCACGGUUGUCACUGUCCUUAUUUCCAGCAAGGCGUAUUACGCAGAGCACAAGGAAUUCUCACUCAACCACGACGACAGGGAUCUGAGAUUGGGGGCUUAAGAGUAAAAAAAAGACUAUUUCAGAGCUCAAAAGUUGGAGAAGAUUGAGCAGAAGAAGAAGAAAAGAAAAUGCAAAGGCCCGUACACAUGCGGUCAGAUUGAUUCUUGAAACAUGUGUUGCCCAAUGAUGAAUGGUUGGUGAUCCGCCUGAGGGGAGUGUGAAGACACAGCACUAGCCCGCUGAUUCUUGAAAUUGAUGCACGCGCCGCAGCCAUCGGGGCCCUGAGUAUUUGUGCGGAGGCAAUUAUCGGGACGGAAGCCGUGACGUGAGUAAAUAUUGGCUGUGGCGAUGAGGAGCAGAAUGAUGAUAUGGGUGGCGAUGAACGUGUGGGGGACACUCAGCGGUUGGCUCUCCGCCUGCUUCUUGCUGGCUGAGGAGAUUGCUCAUUCUCUCGAUGGCCCUGAGGAACGGUACUAUCUCGACUGAUUUUUUCUUCUUUUCCCCCUUUGAGGUCCUUAUUUUUGGAUAGAAUGAUGAGAGAUUAGGAUCUCUCGAUUCGAUUUACGGGUCAGGUACUGACUACCCGGGGCAAAAGGAGCACGAAGCCAUCUCUAAUGCUGUGAUCGUGUUUGUAUAGCUAGUCCCUUCUCGACCAUCGGGGGCAUAAUUUGUAAAUACACGAUAUAAUAUGCAAUCGACCAUCUCUUCCUAAUUAAGAGCA